GUCUGAAUAUGGGGGGACCAUCCUCCAAGGCUAAAUACUCCUGACUGACCGAUAGUGAACCAGUACCGUGAGGGAAAGGCGAAAAGAACCCCGGCGAGGGGAGUGAAAAAGAACCUGAAACCGUGUACGUACAAGCAGUGGGAGCACCCUUCGGGGUGUGACUGCGUACCUUUUGUAUAAUGGGUCAGCGACUUAUAUUCUGUAGCAAGGUUAACCGUAUAGGGGAGCCGGAGGGAAACCGAGUCUUAAUUGGGCGUUAAGUUGCAGGGUAUAGACCCGAAACCCGGUGAUCUAGCCAUGGGCAGGUUGAAGGUUGGGUAACACUAACUGGAGGACCGAACCGACUAAUGUUGAAAAAUUAGCGGAUGACCUGUGGCUGGGGGUGAAAGGCCAAUCAAACCGGGAGAUAGCUGGUUCUCCCCGAAAGCUAUUUAGGUAGCGCCUCGUGAAUUCAUCUCCGGGGGUAGAGCACUGUUUCGGCUAGGGGGCCAUCCCGGCUUACCAACCCGAUGCAAACUGCGAAUACCGGAGAAUGUUAUCACGGGAGACACACGGCGGGUGCUAACGUCCGUCGUGAAGAGGGAAACAACCCAGACCGCCAGCUAAGGUCCCAAAGUCAUGGUUAAGUGGGAAACGAUGUGGGAAGGCCCAGACAGCCAGGAUGUUGGCUUAGAAGCAGCCAUCAUUUAAAGAAAGCGUAAUAGCUCACUGGUCGAGUCGGCCUGCGCG
rnacentral:rRNA from 1 species